GACGAACGCUGGCGGCGUGCUUAACACAUGCAAGUCGAACGGAAAGGCCCCUUCGGGGGUACUCGAGUGGCGAACAGGUGAGUAACACGUGAGUAACCUGCCCUUGACUUCGGGAUAACUUCAGGAAACUGGGGCUAAUACCGGAUAGGAAUCCUUGCUGCAUGGUGGGGGUUGGAAAGCUUCGGCGGUUUUGGAUGGACUCGCGGCUUAUCAGCUUGUUGGUGGGGUAGUGGCUUACCAAGGCUUUGACGGGUAGCCGGCCUGAGAGGGCGACCGGCCACAUUGGGACUGAGAUACGGCCCAGACUCCUACGGGAGGCAGCAGUGGGGAAUAUUGCACAAUGGGCGGAAGCCUGAUGCAGCAACGCCGCGUGCGGGAUGACGGCCUUCGGGUUGGAAACCGCUUUCAGCAGGGGCGAAGCUUGUGGUGACGGUACCUGCAGAAGAAGCACCGGCUAACUACGUG
rnacentral:rRNA from 1 species